UGGGUACUUGAGGAGAGGUUGUCUGUGAUGAGUUCGCUUUAUUAAUGACGAAUAUAACACAGAUGGCCUGUUUUCAGUACCACC
ensembl:miRNA MIR410 microRNA 410